GCCGGGCGCGGUGGCGCGUGCCUGUAAUCUCAGCUACUCGGGAGGCUGACGUGGGAGGAUCGCUUAAGCCCAGGAGUCCUGGGAUGUAGUUGGCUAUGCCGAUCGGGUGUCCGCACUAAGUUGGGCAUCAAUAUGGCGACCUCCCGCGAGCGGGGACCACCAGGCUGCCUAAGGAGGGGUGAACCGGCCCAGGUUGGAAACGGAGCAGGUCAAAACUCCUGUGCUAAUCAGUAGUGGGAUCGCGCCUGUGAACAGCCACUGCACUCCAGCCUGGACAACAUGGCGAGACCCCGUCUCU
rnacentral:SRP_RNA from 1 species